GAGGUAAAGGCUCACCAAGGCAGUGAUACGUAGCCGACCUGAGAGGGUAAUCGGCCCACAUUGGGACUGAGACACGGCCCAGACUCCCUACGGGAGGCAGCAGUAGGGAAUCUUCCAACAAUGGACGCAAGUCUGAUGGAGCAACGCCGCGUGAGUGAAGAAGGGUUUCGGGCUCGUAAAGCUCUGUUGUUAAAGAAGAACGUGGGUAAGAGUAACUGUUUACCCAGUGACGGUAUUUAACCAGAAAGCCACGGCUAACUACGUGCCAGCAGCCGCGGUAAUACGUAGGUGGCAAGCGUUAUCCGGAUUUAUUGGGCGUAAAGCGAGCGCAGGCGGUCUUUUAAGUCUAAUGUGAAAGCCUUCGGCUCAACCGAAGAAGUGCAUUGGAAACUGGGAGACUUGAGUGCAGAAGAGGACAGUGGAAACUCCAUGUGUAGCGGUGAAAUGCGUAGAUAUAUGGAAGAACACCAGUGGCGAAGGCGGCUGUCUGGUCUGCAACGACGCUGAGGGCUCGAAAGCAUGGGUAGCGAACAGGAUUAGGAUACCCUGGUAGUCCAUGCCGUAAACGAUGAUUACUAAGUGUUGGAGGGUUUCCGCCCUUCAGUGCUGCAGCUAACGCAUUAAGUAAUCCGCCUGGGGAGUACGACCGCAA
rnacentral:rRNA from 1 species